rnacentral:rRNA from 1 species
CCUACGGGCGGCAGCAGUGGGGAAUAUUGCGCAAUGGGCGAAAGCCUGACGCAGCGACGCCGCGUGAGGGAUGAAGGUCUUCGGAUCGUAAACCCCUGUCAGCAGGGAAGAACGGUCACUUUGCUAAUCAUCAGUGAAUUGACGGUACCUGCAAAGGAAGCACCGGCUAACUCCGUGCCAGCAGCCGCGGUAAUACGGAGGGUGCGAGCGUUAAUCGGAAUUACUGGGCGUAAAGCGCACGUAGGCGGUAUGUCAAGUCAAGGGUGAAAUCCCCGGGCUGAACGUGGGUACUGCCUUUGAAACUGGGAGACUGGAGUGUGGGAGAGGAGAGUGGAAUUCCAGGUGUAGGAGUGAAAUGCGUAGAUAUCUGGAGGAACAUCAGUGGCGAAGGCGACUAUCUGGCACAUAACUGACGCUGAGGAGCGAAAGCGUGGGUAGCAAACAGGAUUAGAUACCCCUGUAGUC